GACGAACGCUGGCGGCGUGCCUAACACAUGCAAGUUGAGCGACUAACCAGGGCUUGCCCUGGGGCAAAGCAGCGAACGGGUGAGUAACACGUGGGUAACCUACCCCUAUAACCGGGACAACCCGGGGAAACUCUGGCUAAUACCGGAUGUUCUCACUCUACUUCAUUUCAGUGCGUAAAAGGAGCUUCGGCCUCCGUAUCGGGAGGGGGCCUGGCCGCAUUAGUUUGUUGUUGCGGUAGCGGCUCACCAAGACCGCGAGCGGGAGAUGGUCUGAGAGGACGAUAAGCGAGAUUGGGAACGAGCCAGGCACAAGACUCCUACGGGAGGCAGCAGUGGGGAAUCUUGCGCAAUGGGCGAAAGCGUGACGCAGUAACGCAGAGUCGGGGACGACGGCCUUCGGGUUGUAAACAACUUCCAGGAGGGACGAAGGUCCGGCGGUGAAUAGCAGUCCGGACUGACGGUACCUCCACAAGAAGCCCCGGCUAACUACGUG
rnacentral:rRNA from 1 species